AUUGGAAGAUACUCUGCAACUGGGCACUGGCUGCUUAAUGGCGAUUAAGGCUUUUAAAAAUAGGAAAGCUUUUUGAAGAUCACCAAGUGAAGAGCAUGCCUGUCACUGUGCUCUGAGAGCUGUAAGUUCCUUCCCUUGAGUUUCUGAAAGGCCUGGAGACAGCUGACUGGUUAUUAGCUGGAAUCAAGCGAACUCUGCAAGGUCAUGACCGGAUGGUAUGGCGCCGGCCACGGUCCAGGAGCAGCACUGCGCAGAGCGUGUACCACAGCAGGCCUGUGGGACCAGACCACGUGGGUUCUGGUACUGGCUCUUAGUGUAAUUUUGGGCAGGUGACCUAACAUGUCCAUCCAUCUCAUUUUGCUCUGUGACAGAAGUCGGGAUUGCCGUAUGGAUUAAAAAAGAUAAUCCAGAUAAAGUACGAGCAUCUGGUGAGAAUAUAAUAAAUGGCAGUUGUGUGUGUUGUUACUCUAAUAUUAUU